GGGUAGUCCUGGAACCAAUGUCUCAUGAAUACUGAAGGCCAACUGUAUUUCUUGCAGCAAUGAAAAAAAGUAAAGCUACGCACAACAAUAUGGAUGACCAUCACAAACAAAAUUUUAAAAAUAUGAUACAGAUGGUGACAUAGGUGUUUGCUUUAUGAUUAUUUGUUAAACCAAAUCAGCACAUUAUUUGCUUUUCUUUAGUUAUAUUUCACAGUUUAAAAAUUCUAAUAUUUGUUUUCUAUUUGGGGGAAGUCCCACCCAAUGUCUUCAAUCUUCAGGUGGAAAUUUGCCACUUGGCUACCUCUAAAUGCACAGUCCAGAAGAGUAAAAACAGCAACAAUGACAAGAUUCUGUUUAAGAAAAAAGAAGAUAGAUAGAUAUUUGAAUGUUGUGGAGAUGUUGGCAGGUGUGAUGCAGCAAGCAUGGAGACUAAAGCAAAUCAUGGAUUGUGGAGCAGAACUUGGACCAAAUCCAAAUCCCAAUAAGCAUUGCUGAACACUUGCAUCAGCUCAGGAUUGCCUAUCUAUAGACUCCCACAUCACACACCAUUAGAUGCAGAGGCUACAUCCUAAGAAGUAUUCCAGAAAUGUUAGAACGUAAAAAUUAUUUCUCACUCUGUCCACCUGUUGAAAAAUAGAGGCCAUUGUUGUAGGGCCCCAUCCAGGGGCCUAUGUCAUAUAAAUUACUGAACAACAGUUUAUUGAUCCAUUCUCAUGCUGUUCUAAAGAACUACUCAAGACUGGGUAAUUUAUAAAGAGAAGAGGUUUAAUUGACUCACAGUUUCACAGGCUGUGCAGAAGGCACGGCUGGGGAGGCCUCUAGAAACUUACAAUCAUAGCUGAAAGCGAAGGGGAAGCAGUCACGUCUUCAUAUGGCAGCAGGAGACAGAAAGAGUGAAGGGGGAAGUACUACACACUUUUAAACAACUAGAUCACAUGAGAACUCUAUCACAAGAACAGCAAGGGGGAGGUCCACCCCCAUGAUCCAAUCACCUCCCACCAGGGUCCUCCUCCAACACAUGGGGAUUACAAUUCAACAUGAGAAUUGGGUUGGGACACAGAGCCAAACCAUAUCAGACAGUCAUUUGAAAUUUGACUUAAAAUCAGUAAACUACCUAGAUAAGAGAUUAUAAAUAACUU
rnacentral:lncRNA from 1 species